rnacentral:rRNA from 1 species
GAUGAACGCUGGCGGCGUGCCUAAUACAUGCAAGUCGAGCGAACAGACGAGGAGCUUGCUCCUCUGACGUUAGCGGCGGACGGGUGAGUAACACGUGGAUAACCUACCUAUAAGACUGGGAUAACUUCGGGAAACCGGAGCUAAUACCGGAUAAUAUAUUGCACCGCAUGGUUCAAUAGUGAAAGACGGUUUUGCUGUCACUUAUAGAUGGAUCCGGGCCGCAUGAGCUAGUUGGUAAGGUAACGGCUUAGCAAGGCAAGGAGGCGUAGCCGACGUGAGAGGGGGAUCGCCCACACGGGAGGUGAGACAGGGACAAGACGCCUACGGGAGGGAGCAGAAGGCUAUCGGAGGCAGUGGUCGAGAGCAUGGCGGAGCGGGGGGGCGUGAGUGACGAAGGCGCUGGGUGCGUAAUACUGUGUUAUGAGGGAAGAACCGCUGUGUAAGGAACUAUGGACGGAUUGACGGUAACGGAUAAGAAAGCAACGGCUAACUACGUG